rnacentral:tRNA from 1 species
ACCUCCAUAGCCCAAUGGAUAAGGCGCUUGUCCUGGAACUAGAUAUUCUGGGUUCGAUCCCAGUGGAGUCA